rnacentral:lncRNA from 1 species
UUAUUUCAGGAAUCUAACAACCCAAUUACUCUUAGCAAGUCUGGAUCCCAUGGUCUUUCCUCUUGUCAGUGAGGCUCAUCCAGUAUGCAGGACAGGGCCAGGAGAGAAACGUUCCAGAGACAGAGCUGACACGGAGAGGGGAAGGAAAAGGAAGAGGGGAGGAAAGGCGAACAAAGGGAAGAAAGAAAAGACCUGA